GACGAACGCUGGCGGCGUGCUUAACACAUGCAAGUCGAACGGAAAGGCCCUGCUUUUGUGGGGUGCUCGAGUGGCGAACGGGUGAGUAACACGUGAGUAACCUGCCCUUGACUUUGGGAUAACUUCAGGAAACUGGGGCUAAUACCGGAUAGGAGCUCCUGCUGCAUGGUGGGGGUUGGAAAGUUUCGGCGGUUGGAGAUGGACUCGCGGCUUAUCAGCUUGUUGGUGGGGUAGUGGCUUACCAAGGCUUUGACGGGUAGCCGGCCUGAGAGGGUGACCGGCCACAUUGGGACUGAGAUACGGCCCAGACUCCUACGGGAGGCAGCAGUGGGGAAUAUUGCACAAUGGGCGGAAGCCUGAUGCAGCAACGCCGCGUGUGGGAUGACGGCCUUCGGGUUGUAAACCGCUUUCGCCUGUGACGAAGCGUGAGUGACGGUAAUGGGUAAAGAAGCACCGGCUAACUACGUG
rnacentral:rRNA from 1 species